GACGGAGGAUGCAAGUGUUAUCCGGAAUCACUGGGCGUAAAGCGUCUGUAGGUGGUUUAAAAAGUCACUGUUAAAAAUUGAAGCUUAACUUCAAAGAUGCCGUGGAAACUUUUAAACUUGAGUAUGAUAGGGGUAGAGGGAAUUUCCAGUGGAGCGGUGAAAUGCGUAGAUAUGCGGAGGAACACCGAUGGCGAAGGCAAUCCCCCUGGACCUGUACUGACGCUCAUGCACGAA
rnacentral:rRNA from 1 species